AUUGAACGCUGGCGGCAUGCCUUACACAUGCAAGUCGAACGGCAGCAUGGAGAGCUUGCUCUCUGAUGGCGAGUGGCGAACGGGUGAGUAAUGCAUCGGAACGUACCGUGUGAUGGGGGAUAACGUAGCGAAAGGUAAGCUAAUACCGCAUAAGACCUGAGGGUGAAAGCAGGGGAGCGCAAGACCUUGCGUUAUACGAGCGGCCGAUGUCAGAUUAGCUAGUUGGUGAGGUAAAGGCUCACCAAGGCGACGAUCUGUAGCGGGUCUGAGAGGAUGAUCCGCCACACUGGGACUGAGACACGGCCCAGACUCCUACGGGAGGCAGCAGUGGGGAAUUUUGGACAAUGGGGGCAACCCUGAUCCAGCCAUGCCGCGUGAGUGAAGAAGGCCUUCGGGUUGUAAAGCUCUUUCGGCCGGGAAGAAAUCGCACAGGCUAAUACUCUGUGUGGAUGACGGUACCGGCAUAAGAAGCACCGGCUAACUACGUGCCAGCCGCCGCCGUAA
rnacentral:rRNA from 1 species